rnacentral:rRNA from 1 species
CCUACGGGGUGCUGCAGUGGGGAAUAUUGGACAAUGGGCGAAAGCCUGAUCCAGCCAUGCCGCGUGUGUGAAGAAGGCCUUCGGGUUGUAAAGCACUUUCAGUGGGGAAGAAAGCCUUGGGGCUAAUACCCUCGAGGAAGGACAUCACCCACAGAAGAAGCACCGGCUAACUCCGUGCCAGCAGCCGCGGUAAUACGGAGGGUGCGAGCGUUAAUCGGAAUUACUGGGCGUAAAGCGCGCGUAGGCGGUCUGAUAAGCCGGUUGUGAAAGCCCCGGGCUCAACCUGGGAACGGCAUCCGGAACUGUCAGGCUAGAGUGCAGGAGAGGAAGGUAGAAUUCCCGGUGUAGCGGUGAAAUGCGUAGAGAUCGGGAGGAAUACCAGUGGCGAAGGCGGCCUUCUGGACUGACACUGCCGCUGAGGUGCGAAAGCGUGGGUAGCAAACAGGAUUAGAUACCCUUGUAGUC